CACUGUAAUUAAUGAUUUAUAUAUUUGGCUUUGGUAGGAUUGUAUUGGUGCAAUCGAUGGAACAUAUAUUCAAGGAGAGAUCCCAAGAAAUAAGCAGCAGGCAUAAUGCAACCGCAAAGGAAAUACUUCGCAAAAUGUUUUGUGUGCAUGUGAUUUUGAUAUGAGGUUCACUUUUGUUGCAGCUGGCUCGGAGGGUAUGAUAGUAAAGUGCUUGAGAAUGCAAUUCUUGACCCAUUGGCAAAAUUUCCAUUUCCACCACAAGAUAAAUAUUAUGUUGUCGACGCUGGUCUUCGGAACACGAAAGGAUUCCUAGCUCCAUACAAAGGAACGCUCUAUCAUUUGCAGGACUAUAGAGGGAGUGAAAGAGAGCCCAAGAACGGCAAAGAGCUAUUUAACUAUAGACAUGCCUCUCUGCGCAAUGUAAUUGAAAGAACAUUUGGAGCGUGGCAAAAGUAGAUUCAGAAUACUACGACAAGGCAUGAA